rnacentral:rRNA from 1 species
UAAAGAAUUUCGGUCAUCGAUGGGGAUGCGUUCCAUUAGCUUGUUGGCGGGGUAACGGCCCACCAAGGCAUCGAUGGAUAGGGGUUCUGAGAGGAAGGUCCCCCACAUUGGAACUGAGACACGGUCCAAACUCCUACGGGAGGCAGCAGUGAGGAAUAUUGGUCAAUGGGCGCUAGCCUGAACCAGCCAAGUAGCGUGAAGGAUGACUGCCCUAUGGGUUGUAAACUUCUUUUAUAUGGGAAUAAAGUGCAGUAUGUAUACUGCUUUGCAUGUACCUUAUGAAUAAGGAUCGGCUAACUCCGUGCCAGCAGCCGCGGUAAUACGGAGGAUCCGAGCGUUAUCCGGAUUUAUUGGGUUUAAAGGGAGCGUAGGCGGGUUGUUAAGUCAGUUGUGAAAGUUUGCGGCUCAACCGUAAAAUUGCAGUUGAUACUGGCAUCCUUGAGUACAGUAGAGGUAGGCGGAAUUCGUGGUGUAGCGGUGAAAUGCUUAGAUAUCACGAAGAACUCCGAUUGCGAAGGCAGCCUGCUGGACUGUAACUGACGCUGAUGCUCGAAAGUGUGGGUAUCAAACAGGAUUAGAUACCCUGGUAGUCCACACAGUAAACGAUGAAUACUCGCUGUUUGCGAUAU